GGUCCAUGUUGGCCAGGAGCCUAGUUCUCUCUAGUGAACAUCUGUUCUCUGAAACACUUUGAGAAUGUUCAGGUGAAAACGUAUCUGGUAUUUUAGUAUGUCAGAUUCUGGUGGUUUAGAAACUAGUCAGACUUGUGUUAAGUUAUUAAGGGCAAACUUCAGAGGCUUGUAAAAUGACUCUCAAUUCUGUGGAAUUAGCUUAAAUUGAUGCGAGCAAAUCGGCAAUUCAAGAGGUUAGUAAACAUGCCCCCAUAGUUGAUUUUGAGAACUAAACAUAGAAUGGUGCCAUAUUUCUCCAGGGGUUGAGUAGGGUGGGAAGGCAUGGCUGUGUACAGUGAGUAGGAGGUCAGAAAUAGCAUUCCCACGGGUGAGCUUCUGCAGAAUGGAGUGUCGCUGGCAUGUGAACCUUGUCACUUCCUGCUCAGGCUACCCUACUUAGCAUUUAUGACACAGAGGAGGCAUGAUGGUUCUGUGUGAUUGGGGCGGACUUUUCCUUUGUGGGAUUCAAGAUAGGCAGUGGGAGGGAAGAUGGGGAGCUUGGAUUGGUACCUUUGUGAAUUAGACCCAGACGGUAAAUAAGCAUCCUGAAGUGAAAUCAAGACUCUGUGAGCUUGGAAAUUUGCUGAAUUCAGCUGUUUGUGGAGUCACCUCUUUGGUGUGUUAUAAAAGAGCUCUGAUGUAUUUCUGAGCACAUGCUGCAGUGUUGGAGAGUGUCACUCUCCCUGUGUAUACUGUGUAUACUUUAAUUCAAACAGAGUAACAGGUUUCCUAAUGGCCAAUUUAUACAUGUUAACUUGGUUGAUCCACCCUGCCUCCACCUUCUUCUCACCUCCCAUGUUCUCUUCCCUGUUCUCCCACCUUGUCCGCCUGUUCUCCCUUUCCAUACUGCAUGUUUCUAUUCAUCAUACACCUUUCAUAUCACAUGUUCUAUCAUCAUACACCUUGUCUCCCUUUUCAAGAAAAAAAUAUUCAAUUUUAUUUUGUAUAUAUGAUUGCCUGCAUAUACAUAUAUGUACCGUGCACAUGCUUGGUGCCCAAGGGUCCUUUAUCUGGAACUGGAGUUACAGGUUGCUGUGAGCUUCCCUAUAGGGGAUGGGAGCCAAAGCUGGAUCUUUUGUAAGAACAGCAAAUGCUAUAUCCAACCUUCUCUCCCAUCCCAACCUCAUUUUUUCU
rnacentral:lncRNA from 1 species